ACCUCCUCACCCAUGAUCCAUCUCCAAUGGAGGGAAGAGACAUGAGAGAGCGAAGGAAGUGACCUCAUCCUGCUACUUCCUGUGAGAGCGAAGGAAGUGAUCUCAUCCAGCUACUUCCUGUGGCAGAGGAAAGACUCACCUGGGGGCCACGGCCCUUCCGGGAGUUUCAUCUUUCCUGUAUUGACAUCACAGUAAUGGAGGGGAGCACCUGCUGAGGAAGGAAGGUGGCAACACAGAACAUCUGCUUCCUCUCCAUCAGUCUGCUGUGUGGCCUGCCUCAGUGCCAUUGAGAAGGCCCAAAGUACAGCCUGAAACCCGGUGAAUGUGGCAGUGUCUUUAGCUGUAGGGAGCUGACAGGUUCUGCUGAGCUGACGAGAGCUGCUUUUAUGGGUAUGGGAGGCCAAGCUGGACAAGCACAACACCAUCAUCAACAGAAGGCAACCAGUACUUCUCCCAGCGCUAUGAUGUGGUAUGGUGUGAUGUAGUGCAAAUGUCUCCUGAGGCACCUCCGAUACGCUGGGCUUUGCUCCUCCAAAGCUGAGAGGUAAGUCAACUGAACCACCUGUGCUUAAUGUGGUGUAGGCCAAGUAGUAAAGCAGACAGAAGGUCUGUGCAGCAGCCCCAUCCCUGAUGAACUUCCACACUGGCCUGGGUCCUAAGUGUAGAGAUGUGUAGGGCCACACCAAGCAGGGGAUAGACGGACAGUGACCACAUCCCGUUAAUGUGGAGUGUGUAGUUUGUCAGAGUUGCUUUCUAUUCUAUCGCUUGCCCUUUGUGGCUCAGUGAUCCAGUGUGAUUGACCUGACCUUACCGAUGAUAGCCACUGUGGCUCAGUGAUCCAAUGUGAUUGACCUGACCUUACCGAUGAUAGCCACUGAUGAAGUAGGCAUCUGGACAUCUUAGGGUUGCUUGGAGCUGAGGAAUAGAGCUUGUUCCUUUGUUAUGGGGAACCAGGACUAGUGGAAGAGUGAAAAUGGCUCCCACAGGCUCAUAUGUUUGAAUGCUUGGUCCCCAGUUGGUGGAACUGCUUGAGAAGGAUUAGAAUGUUUAUGGCUUGUCCAAAGAAGAGUGUCAUUGGGUGGGCUUGGACGUAGACAUCAAAAGUAGAUGUCAUGGGAGGUCUCGGAGGUUUCAAAAGUAGAUGUCAUUCCCAAUUAGUGUUCUCUCCCCCACCCCCACUUACCUCCAACUUGUGGAUCAGAGCUAAGCUCUAAGCUCCUGCUUCAGUGCAAUGCCCACCUCCUGCCAUACUCUCCGCCAUGAUGGUCAUGAACCCACCCUCUGAAUCUGUAAGCCAGCCCCCAGUUAGAUGCUUUCCUAUAUAAGCUGCUCUUGGUCAUGGUGUCUCUUCACAGCAGGAGAGAAGUAACCAAAACAUUAUUUAUCAGACAUGGGAAAUUAUGACUUUGAUUGAAACUGUCCCUGUCAUUGAAAAUUGUCUCUUUAGAGGAUAGUGGCCAAAGUUGAUGACAUUUUCCUUGCACGGAGUGAGGAAGGUCUGUUCGCCAAGCACCUCCUAUCUGCCUCGAGGUUGAGUGCAAGCUCAGGCAGGCCAGUAUGUAGUGAGAAUUUUGGCUCUUUUAAAAACACAGAAAUGUUAAGAAUGUGUUAUUUUUUUCUUCUUCUUUUUUUUUUCGGAGCUGGGGACCAAACCCAGGGCCUUGUGCUUGCUAGGCAAGCGCUCUACCACUGAGCUAAAUCCCCAACCCCAAGAAUGUGUUAUUAUUUAAAACCCAGGUGUGGGAUGUGGGGCAGCUUCAGACUGUCCACAGCAGUUGAUUCUGACUUGCCCUGUGCUCAAACAGGGGCAUGGCUUUGUGAUGUUUGGAAUUGUGGGGAUUUUUCAAAGUAUAUAUAAAUGCCAGAACCCCGAUAGAGGGAGCUGGUUAGCUGGUUAGCUAGUUAGUUGGUUGCAGUUUGUUAAGUAGCCAUGCACAAAGAAGAAACAAGACGAAAUUGGAUGUCCUGAUGGUGAAGAUCAAACUAGCCCAAGGAACUCAGUGUUCCUAGUCAGCAGGAAGUCGGCUAAUGAUAGCCAUGCUCCCUUCCUCUCUAUCUGCCCAGUGUCAGGGGGUGGAAAGGGUGGAAGAAAAAAGAACCCACCAAGUACCCAGAAGUAGCCACAGGUUAGAAGACAACAGCAUCUGUCGAGACAACAGCCAGUCCUUACUGAACUUAUCCCAGGCGGUGUAGUGACUGCACAGCUAAGAGCUGCCAGGGCCAGCUCAUGUCCCCCAAGGCCAUUAUGUCACAUGUCCAGGAAUGGCUGGGUGAAGCCCAUCAGCUGUGUUAUGAAUGGACUCCCAUUUCUGGAAGAUCAACAAAGGCAACCUAAAUGAAGAAAACACCUGGGUCUCUAGGUAGAGUUCUUCAAGACAGUUUCCUGUCAGUUUUGAGAACAGCAGCUUGUGGUCCUGCCUUCACCAUUCACCAGUUACACGUAAGUGUAGGUGAGUAAAUGGGCCCUCGUUGGUGUGUGUAGUUGAUGCUUCAGGCUGGUCAGGCAGCAGAGUGAAAGGUGAACUUCUGUUGCCCUAAGUAAAGAAUUCACCAGGACCUUUCUCAAAACCACAGAGCCCCACACUACCCUACCAGCUGACUUAGGAACAGUUGGCUUCUGGUGUGCCUCAUUAGCAUAGGCAGACCACGACGUGUGUCCUUGUAAAAGUUUAUUUUCAAACAUCUAUAACUCCUGAAGAGACCUUCAAGUGGGUAUUUAUCAAUUAAAACACAGGCAACAGUGAGGUGUGGUGGCUCAUGCCUAUAAACUCAGGACUCAGGAGGUGGAGAGAGGAGGAUCAAGAGCUCAAGGCCAGCCUGUUUUAUGAGACCCAUUGUCCAAAAUUAAAUAGAUAGAUAGAUGAUAGAUAGAUAGAUAGAUAGUAAAUAAAUCAAGCAAGCACAGACAUUAAUAACAUUCUUGUUACCCAAGUCUACCUUCUAGGUCCUGCCCACCAAGGCCAGAAAACCACCUUGGAGGUCACAACCUUGUGGGACCUGGAGACUACCCUGUGGUCUGUAAGAGGUGCGGAGUAUCUGGUGCUGCGUUUCAGUCACGGCCCCUCCGUCCUGAGUGGCUCUUAACGGAGUGCCCUAGUUGGGACCCUCUAUCCCCCACACUCCACUGUUAUCCUAGAACCUGUUAAACAUUAACAUUCUUACUGACUUCCUAGAUCAGAAACUACAGGCGGACAAGGCUUUGCUCUAACAACCAUGCUCCAGUUCACUCUGACAGAUGCUGUAGCUGAAGAAAAAUAAACAAGCCUAUUUUUCCCACUUACUUGGAAACGAAACAGUUAAGUUUUUAAGUGGUUAGACACCUGGAAUUUUUGCUGGGAUUUUUCUAUAUUCAGGAAAAAGAAAUGGGGGGAGUGGGGACCACCUCAUUUUUAUGUGACUGACUUAUGUAAAGUCACUUUGAUUGGAGAACGUGACAAUGAGACCAGACCUGGUCUUUAGCUAAGAAAGGCUGCGACUGUAACCUUAGCACGGUGAAUAUCCACCGUCUGAAGGUGAAGCCACCUGAUGAUGUCACCUUUUUAAUAGAUGUCAGCAUCUAUCUAAUCACGCUGUGACAUCAUUGAUAGCUGUUGGAUGUUCCUGUGUGCCAUUUGACUUUAGCUCCUGGAAUCACGAGCAGCCACUUGGUGACAGAGUCCACGGAAUGAGAAGAACAUCUUAAAUUUCACCUCAAACGUAUCUUCCGUCAUUCUUAUAUGUAAAUAUAUGGAAAGACACCAUUUUGUUGUAUACAAUAAAGGGGCAUUAGAUGUAUUUAUAAAUACGUUUUCUUGUUUUAAGAUUUAUUUUAAAACAGGCUUUUACAUGAAAGAAAUUAAGGCCCAUUAUGCGUACACAGAUGCCCAAGAAAGGAGUGAGCUGCGUGAUGCAGCACACACCGUUCGAUAAUCUCAUAUUGGUUUAUAAAGCCCAGAGAACACAUUUAAAUGAAGGGGGAUCGAGGGCGCAUGAUGGACAGCACUGAAAUCUCUUCCACUUGAUUAAAAAUUCCUAGUUCCUCUUGAGCGAAUUGUUCGGAGUUUUUGAGCAGCCUCUGCCCUGAUUAAAACAAAUUAGCAUCAAAGAUCCCCUGUUGAAUGAGAAGUCAUUAAUUGAGAAACAAGCAGUGCUCCUUAAUUACCUUUAGAACAGAGAGAGAGCAAAUACUCGGAGGUUCCAGAGGGGCCGCCUGGCCUGCACCACAGGCUCCUUCCACAGAGCUGCUGGAAUAAAACUCAGCUGCAGACACUAUCGGGGACCAUCCGUGCAGGCUUCAGUAAACACCUCGGAUUGUUUAUCCAAGGAAAAUACCUACCCGGCAACUACCAACGGAAGUGAGAGGAGCGUGUUUGCUUUCUUCCUUUGGUGGAUGCUUUUAAAAAUGCGUUUUGUCCAUGUCCCCAUCGAUGGAGAAAUCAUGAAAGCUAUUGUUUUGGACACAAAUGCCCCCCACCCUUUUUUGUAAAACACUUCACUUACGAAAUUCCUAGCGAGAUUCCAGAAGCAUCUGAACAGGUGAGAAAAUUCAUUUUUUAGUUGGACAUAAAGUGUUGAACUUCAAAAAAUAUCUAUCUUCAGAUGAAAAUGUCUAUGUAUAUAUACAUAUAUGUAUGUAUGUGUGUAUGAAGAUAGGGUCUCACUCUGCAGGUGUUUUUGGUUUUAUUUUAUUUAAUUUGAGACAGGGUCUCACGAAGUAGACUGGGUUGGCCAGGAACUCACUAUAGUAGCUCAGGCUAGCCUAGAACAUGUGAUGGUUCUCCUGCCUAAGUUCCCAGAGAUCUGACAUUCUGAGGAAAUUGUGACAGGGCACCUUGUUCUGUCCCUCACAACAGUCCUCAAAUUGAGGUGGAAGCCAGCUCCCUCUUUCCCCAGGAGCUGGAACACACUGAAUAUUACAUGUGGGACUAGCACUAGACAAGCACCCUGCUAGAAUGCUGCAGGCUCCAAAGGCCCUAAAACCCUUUCUGCGCAUGUUCCCUGGCAGGAAGAAACUAUGCAGGGGUGGUGGGGAGGAGGCGGGAUCUGACAAAGGACAAAAUCCCACAUAAGGCUAGCAUCUGGAUCUAUACUAAUGUGGCUAAGGCCCAACAUGAAAAUUUUAUUUAAUUUCAGAGGAUAAAGAGAGCAUUUUACCAGUUGAAUUACUCUUUAUACCAAUAGACUGCAGAUUUCAAACUUUUCAGACAUUAAUCGCUAUUCUCCAUCAUGACGAUAAACUUGACAUCACUACAAUCUUCUCCGAUAGUGUCUUGGAGCCUAUAUCAAAACGUUUUUCAAGACUCUAUCAAGAGUAAUUUGUUUCAAAAGAAAAAUGUUACUGUGAAUUGUAUGGGCACUGUGUUGGGAUUAUAAUCACAGCUGAAACAUUUGUAACAGUAGAAAAAUUGGAUUCUGUUGUUGUUGUUCCAGGUAGUUCCAAUAAAGGUGUAACAAGGGCCUUUAGAUAUUCUUCAGGAUAAAGUAAUCCUCAGUUCAGAAUGUGCAAAACCAAAGUGACUCAGCAACAGAUUUCCACCCAACAGCUGCCGAUGCUGUCAUACCCACAUUCCUGCUCAGAACAGGGAAGCCAAGACAUUGUAUCGUCUGCAUCAAAAUACACAUUGUAUCGUCUGCAUAAAGCCACAAGGCAAAAAUCCUUGGGCAUCAUUAAUAGACCCUAUAGUCUCACCACCGGCAAGCCAAUGAGCUGUUGGCUUGUAGAAAAAGGCCUGUUCUUUGCCAGCUCACUGCAAGAGGUGUUCUUUUCUCAAGCACAGGAAGGUCAGAUUGGAGCCAUGGCUUGAGGAGUCAGCAAGGAGUGGACAGGGGUGGGGGAUUUCAGGGGCUCCUCUUCCAGACAGAUCAUCUGCAAAUGGAUGUUGGGGAGGUGCCUGCGAGUGAGCAAGCUUCGGUUGAAUCUGGAGUUCUGACGCCCAGAACUUGACAAGCCAAGCAUCCUGUUUGCUACUGUGUAUUUGCACUUUGAGGUAAUUCAUUUCAGGCUGGAAUCAAAUCGUUUUAGGCAGAGCUAGUGUUUUUUGGUGUCCUUCCAGCCGGCCUUCCCUCUUGAGUGCCAUCGUAUUUCAAAUAAGCCAGCAUCAUCACGAGGGAGCAAAACUGCAGGAGACCACUUUAUGCUGUUUGCUUGUUCCUAAAGCACUGCUUGAUAGGGGUGUGAGCACGCACGUAUGCACGCACACAUGCACGCACAUCUGCAGCUGGAGGGACAAACUAUAGUGAAUGGAGGGUCACGUGGCCUGUGCCGAUAGGAAACGCACCACCAGCUUAGUGCUUGCUACAAAAACUACCAUCUGAAGUUAAUGUUUAGUUACCAGACAUGUAAAGGAUAUUUUGAGAUCCUGAGAAGCACAAGUCUGAGUCACCAGGGACGCAUUCCAAUGAUAUCAACUGCAUCUUCCUCAUUUAGCAUCUCUGUGAACUGUUACCUACACACACACACACACACACACACACUCUCUCUCUCUCUCUCUCUCACACACACACACACUCUCUCUCUCACACGCAGCUCAACAGAAGCAGAAAGCAGUGCUCACAAUCUGGCGAGUUUAAUUUUUGGAUCCUUGUACAGUAAUACACAGUGUGUGACCAUGGCCUCCUCUGAUAGCAUCAAUGGCAGUAACAAAGAAGCCACAAAGUGAAGCAGAAGUAGGUAGGUAUGUUUUUCUUUCUUUUAAGUGUGUAAGGACAUUCUCAUCCAAACUGUAUUCUCCCACAUGUCCCAUGGCACAUCUUAGGUAAGUUCUUUUUUGGUUUUUUGUUUUGUUUUGUUUUUUGUUUUGUUUUGUUUUUAAUCAUAGUUCACUUGGAAAUAGCUUAGACAACUGACCCAGGCAUUUAAAAAAUGGGGGCUUGUCAUUUGACUUCAUAGAAAAAUUUGAUUGUGUCCCAUUUUUAAAGCAACUGUCCAAAUCUUAAGGCCACUUAGCACAUCAUCAGAACGUACAUGAUCUAGGAUGCCUUUGAGCACCGGGGGCUCUAGAAAGACAGGAGAUGGAUUGCUACCAGAAUUUAUUUUCACUAGUAUCUUUCUCCAGUGGGUUUCCUAGAGCUCUCUGCUCACCCGGGCAGCUAGUUCAAAGCGGCUUGUGCUUAACUGUCCUGGCUGAGCAAAACCAUCACCUCUGCCAAAAGCCUGCUGGUGAGCAGAGGAUGUGUGGCUGCUGGGUCUCAGUCAGAACAGCCUCCAGCACAGGAAUGGGGAGAAUUCAAUGGAAGGUCUAAGCUGGGGAGAUAGGAAGUAUGGAUGAAAUGGGGGAGAGAGCUUAGUUUAUAGACAAAGAUCCAAAAUGACACUGCAGCUUCACGGUUAGAAGGUGCAGCAGCCAAGUGUGUGGGUUCAAAGCUAUGAGUGGGACUGAGUUCCCAGUAUGUACAUUUCUGGG